AAGACGGUGAGAGUGGCGCACGGGUGCGUAACGCGUGAGCAACCUACCUCUAUCAGGGGGAUAGCCUCUCGAAAGAGAGAUUAACACCGCAUAACAUAUGUGACCGGCAUGUGUUGGUGAUUAAAUAUUUAUAGGAUAGAGAUGGGCUCGCGUGACAUUAGCUAGUUGGUAGGGUAACGGCUUACCAAGGCGACGAUGUCUAGGGGCUCUGAGAGGAGAAUCCCCCACACUGGUACUGAGACACGGACCAGACUCCUACGGGAGGCAGCAGUAAGGAAUAUUGGUCAAUGGGCGGAAGCCUGAACCAGCCAUGCCGCGUGCAGGAUGACUGCCCUAUGGGUUGUAAACUGCUUUUGUCCAGGAAUAAACCUUUCUACGUGUAUGAAGCUGAAUGUACUGGAAGAAUAAGGAUCGGCUAACUCCGUGCCAGCAGCCGCGGUAAUACGGAGGAUCCGAGCGUUAUCCGGAUUUAUUGGGUUUAAAGGGUGCGUAGGCGGCCUAUUAAGUCAGGGGUGAAAUACGGUGGCUCAACCAUCGCAGUGCCUUUGAUACUGAUGGGCUUGAAUCCAUUUGAAGUGGGCGGAAUAAGACAAGUA
rnacentral:rRNA from 1 species